ACUUGAUAUCGCUGACUCACUCAUAUAAUAGCAGGGAUAUGGCCUGCUAGUUUCUACCGAUCAACCGUAAAUUGAUCGACUAUGAGUGGCAAUGUCAGAAAC
rnacentral:ncRNA from 2 species